UCAGAUUGAACGCUGGCGGCAUGCUUUACACAUGCAAGUCGAACGGUAACAGGUCUUCGGAUGCUGACGAGUGGCGAACGGGUGAGUAAUACAUCGGAACGUGCCUAGUAGUGGGGGAUAACUACUCGAAAGAGUAGCUAAUACCGCAUGAGAUCUACGGAUGAAAGCAGGGGACCUUCGGGCCUUGUGCUACUAGAGCGGCUGAUGGCAGAUUAGGUAGUUGGUGGGGUAAAGGCUUACCAAGCCUGCGAUCUGUAGCUGGUCUGAGAGGACGACCAGCCACACUGGGACUGAGACACGGCCCAGACUCCUACGGGAGGCAGCAGUGGGGAAUUUUGGACAAUGGGCGAAAGCCUGAUCCAGCAAUGCCGCGUGCAGGAUGAAGGCCCUMGGGUUGUAAACUGCUUUUGUACGGAACGAAAAGCUCUGGGCUAAUACCCCGGAGUCAUGACGGUACCGUAAGAAUAAGCACCGGCUAACUACGUGCCAGCAGCCGCGGUAAUACGUAGGGUGCAAGCGUUAAUCGGAAUUACUGGGCGUAAAGCGUGCGCAGGCGGUUUUGUAAGACAGUGGUGAAAUCCCCGGGCUCAACCUGGGAACUGCCAUUGUGACUGCAAAGCUAGAGUGCGGCAGAGGGGGAUGGAAUUCCGCGUGUAGCAGUGAAAUGCGUAGAUAUGCGGAGGAACACCGAUGGCGAAGGCAAUCCCCUGGGCCUGCACUG
rnacentral:rRNA from 1 species